rnacentral:rRNA from 1 species
GACGAACGCUGGCGGCGUGCUUAACACAUGCAAGUCGAACGGUGAAGCUCCAGCUUGCUGGAGUGGAUCAGUGGCGAACGGGUGAGUAACACGUGAGCAACCUGCCCCAGACUCUGGAAUAAGCGCUGGAAACGGCGUCUAGUACUGGAUACGAGAUCAAGCCGCAUGGUUAUGGUCUGGAAAGUUUUUCGGUUUGGGAUGGGCUCGCGGCCUAUCAGCUUGUUGGUGAGGUAAUGGCUCACCAAGGCGACGACGGGUAGCCGGCCUGAGAGGGCGACCGGCCACACUGGGACUGAGACACGGCCCAGACUCCUACGGGAGGCAGCAGUGGGGAAUAUUGCACAAUGGGCGAAAGCCUGAUGCAGCGACGCCGCGUGAGGGAUGACGGCCUUCGGGUUGUAAACCUCUUUCAGCAGGGAAGAAGCGAAAGUGACGGUACCUGCAGAAGAAGCACCGGCUAACUACGUG